CAAACAUAAAAUGUUGCUGUUUUUAUUAUCAUUUGCACAUUUCCAAUACAUUAUGGGCCAUUUAUACAUGUUCUUUAACUAAAUUACACACACAAUACAAAAUAUAUAAGGAAAGAUGUUUGCUUUAACUUUAGUUCAUUGUAUCCUGCUGGUCAGUAUUUUGGGCAAAUUAUCAGCUCAAUGUUAAUUAGAAAGACUUUAAUUCUUGCUGGAUCAGACUCAUUUCUUGGGACUUUCCAACAGAUGCUUGAGAAUAUGAUUUCAAUUCUUUAAACUGUGCUUAAUCAGUUAAACAUUGCAGUUACAAUAAUAAUAUGUUUUAAUAAUUGCAGUUUUCUGUCUUGGGCUGACAGAUAACUGAUCCUCCAUAUUUUUCGUAAUAAUAAUUUUUAAUAGUUGUUUGAUACUAUAUUUUCCCCCCCUCUUUCUUGAGGGACUCUUAGCUUUUAUUUAACAUACAUAGUUAAAAUUCUGUUUUUGUCGUGUAUGCCAGUAGAUCAUAAAACCAACAACAGCAGCAAAAGGAAACACAGCAGACACACUCAGACCAACUUUCAGUCCAACAGAUCCAUCCUCCCUCUCUCCUCCAUCCUGUGUGUCUGUUGGCCUGACAGAUGUUCCUUGACUUGUGUUCUUCCUUAUUUUAUAAUGUUUUUUGUUUUCUCUUACUUGAGGCACGGUGGGUGUCAUGGAGGAAUUGACGUUCACCUCUUUUGUUAUUUAAGCCUAAUAUUAGCUUACUUAUCAAACCAUUGUUCAUUGGUUUGAUAAGUAACAGUGAAAUUUCAACAGUGAAAUUUCUUGGAAAAUAUGCAGCUGUUUUUGUUUCAUGCUCGGAUGCUAUUGUUUUAGUUUCUCCAGUCAGAUUUUCUCCUGAUUUUCUGGCUUCCUUUUCCCAGCAUCAUCAUCUAAGAAUCUCUGGGACAUUUCAAACAGGUUGCUGUUCAGCUGGAGGCUGGUAUAAAUCUUUACUCUGUUCUUGUUUACGUUUUCUGUAGAGCAAAAAAACUGAAACACCAGCAGUAACAAGAAUUUCAAAAACUGAGAGACCAACAUUCAGUCCAACAGGUCCAUCCUUCUUCCCUCCAUCCUUUCCCUUCACCCUCCUUCAAUUCAUUCAAAACAACUUUCCACUUGCUGUCAGUCUGAUGCAGUUAAACAGUUUCUGGAUUAUUUGAGGUAGAUUCCUAGUUUUCUAUGAUCUAUUUGGGCUGACUGCCUGAGAUCAAAUCUGCAUCAACUGCUUCAAAAGAAAAAGAGAGAAAAGAGAAAAAAAACAUUUACAGCCACAAAAACACAUGAAUAGACUCAAAUAAGACAACAAUAAGGCUAAAACAUUUAUAAGUAAAAACAUUCAAAAAGAGUAAAAUAAAUGAAUAACAAAAUGUGACCAGCUCUUGAAAUAUUUAAACUGACAACCAGAAAACAGAAUGUAAAGUUCAAAAAGCUUCACAGAUCAGAGGAAACAUAUAAACAGCUGCUGAAGAUUCAGAUUCUAUCAGGUACAAGACACCACAGUCCAAUUUUCCAAUACAUCAGAAGCCAAACAUCAUCUGUGUUGGAAUUAAAUUGACAAUUUAAUAUAUGUAAAGAACAUGAAAUGCUAACAGAAAUGGUUUAGUGUUUUAUUCAAUAUUAGGCAGCAUCUAGUGUAAACUUUGCCUGUUGAUGGCAAAUGGUAAAUGGCCUGCAUUUGUAUAGCACUUUACUUAGUCCCUAAGGACCCCAAAGCGCUUUACACUAUGUCUUUGAUUCUUCUUGGAUCAUUUUGGGUCUAAUUUCUUAGAUCUCUCCCACAGAUGCUGGAUAAUGUUUUAAAUUCUGAAUUGCAUUGUGAUAUUACAGUUUAAAUAACCUACAAGUUUUAAUAAAUGCAGUUUCCCAUUAUGGAUUGAUUUACUGCUUCUUGUCCUUUUUCCUGAUAGUAAUAAUAAUAAUAAUAACAAUAAUAAUAAUAAUGGUGAUGAUAAUAGUAAUAGUAAAAUAAUAAAUCUCUUUUUUAUCCUAUUGAGAGGCAGUUAGCUUUUUAUUUAACAUCGUUUCUGCUGUAAAAUCUUUUUUUAAUUGAAGCAACUCUUUUGGUUUUGUAGAUGUUCUUGUUUUAGGUUCUUCAGUCAGAUUUACUCCUGCCUUUGUUGCUUUAGUGAUACAGGCUUCUCUUACCCAGCAUCACCAUGUAAGAAGCUCUGAGAUAUUUCAAAGCUGAUGUAUUUCACUAGGAUGCUGGAAUGAAUCCCGACUCUGUCGUUGUUUAUAUUUUCUGAAGAUCCAAAAACCAACAGGAGCAGCAACAAGAAGCACAGCAGAAACUGACAGACCAACGAUCAGUCCAACAGAUCCAUCCUCUGUGUCUCCUCCUGUCUGACCUGCAGG
ensembl:lncRNA